rnacentral:rRNA from 1 species
UACGUAGGGGCCGAGCGUUGUCCGGAGUUAUUGGGCGUAAAGCGCGCGCAGGCGGCCUCGCGCGCCCGACGUGAAAGCCCCCGGCUUAACCGGGGAGGGUCGUUGGGGACGGCGGGGCUUGAGGGCGGGAGAGGGUGGUGGAAUUCCCGGUGUAGUGGUGAAAUGCGUAGAGAUCGGGAAGAACAUCGGUGGCGAAAGCGCUCUACUGGACCGCAACUGACACUCAGGGACGAAAGCUAGGGGAGCGAAUGGG